CCUACGGGCGGCAGCAGUGGGGAAUCUUGCACAAUGGGGGAAACCCUGAUGCAGCGACGCCGCGUGAGUGAAGAAGUAUUUCGGUACGUAAAGCUCUAUCAGCAGGGAAGAAAAUGACGGUACCUGACUAAGAAGCCCUGGCUAACUACGUGCCAGCAGCUGCGGUAAUACGUAGGGGGCAAGCGUUAUCCGGAUUUACUGGGGGUAAAGGGAGCGUAGGCGGCAGCACAAGUCUGGAGUGAAAUGCCGGGGCUUAACCCCGGAACUGCUUUGGAAACUGUGCAGCUAGAGUGCAGGAGAGGUAAGUGGAAUUCCAAGUGUAGCGGUGGAAUGCGUAGAUAUAAGGAGGAACACCAGUGGCGAAGGCGGCUUACUGGACUGUAACUGACGUUGAGGCUCGAAAGCGUGGGGAGCGAACAGGAUUAGAUACCCGUGUAGUC
rnacentral:rRNA from 1 species